CCCGACAUAACCUAAAGGACAUUGUCUUAUCUUCUGUCAACUCAGCAAACGCGUCAGUAAAAGGUCAAAGUCUUGAGUUUUAUUUUGAAAACCCAGCACCGGAAACAUCAUUGCACAUUAAUCUUAACUUGACCCCUGAUCUCUGCUGGAGGAGCGGAGCGGCACAGCUGAGGGACCCCGGUCGUGUUUCAAUGCUGGGGAGCCGGGAAGCAGGGACUGCGGGCGGCGGGGAGGCAGGUGCCGGGCUGCCGGGGCCGCUGAGCCGGGCACAGCGCGGGGAGGAGACGCCGCCCGGACGCGCAGGGUGUUGUCUCACCGGCCUGGUGAAGUGGAAGCAGAGACCGUGCAGGACUUCAGCCCUGUUUGCUGCAGUCAACACGGUGUUCUGGUUCGUGGCCUUCAGCUCCUUCAGAGUCUACAGUGUGUUGGCCGUGCUGCUGGCCCUGCUGGUCCUCACGGUGACUGUGAGAGACCUCGCUCGGUCCAGAUACACAGGCUCCCACCUAUGGCAAAGCAUGUCUGCAAGGUAGGAUGAUAAAGAACACCUGAUUUGUUUGUUCGUGUGUGUUUGUUUGUGCAGCAAUUACAGAUUUAUUGUUUUAAACAUUUCUGAGAGGCUGAACUCAUCCAAAAGCAGGAAUCUGCUUACUGGGUGAGUGAAAAGGAUAAACUUUAAUGUCAUACAGCAGUUGCUAUACGUGACAGUUUAGUUAAUUUAAAAUCAGUAAGAAGAGAAGUUCUGAGCACAUUUGAAUGUUGGGUAUCAGUGUUUGACACUGAUUAAAUGAAAGAUUAACUGACAGAUAAUGAUUGAUGUAUCUGAGAAGAUGUCUCACUUUGGUGGAGUUUUUUUGGAGUGGAGCGUCUUCCUUCACAAAUGAUCUUUGGCUGAGUUCAGUCACUGUACAAAUCUGAAUCAUAACUUUCUUAUUCACUGUUCUAAUCAGACUGAAGAUACAUCUGAGAGUGAACUAUUGAGAAGCUGCAGCCCCGUAGAGCUGAUUUGUCACACAUGACUGUCUAAUCCAAUCCUCUCUGAGACUGAAUCGUGUGACGGCUCCAAGACAAACAAAUCACAUAAUCACUGUAUGAUGCACAAGUGUUUACAUUAGUGCAGAAAGACACAUUUUAUUAGACUGGUGCAUGUUUUGUGAUUUUUGUAGUACAUACAUAGUAUAAAUGCUUGUCAUACUUAUAUUUAUGAUCUAGUCAUCUCUGAUUUAAUUUCUGGAUGCUGUAGCAGCAAUUUGUAUUUACUUAUUUUCAAUUAUAGACAUGUCAGACACUUUGGGUGUCUGUCUAGUGCAGAGAAACUGCAGUAGAUAGACACCAAUUCAAUUUUACUUGUAUAACACCAAAUCACAACAGAAGUCAGGAGGCAACAACAAAAAAAAGACAACAACAGGCAGGUCAACUGGAUUCUGGAGAUGUACAGCUCCAGGCCGAGGAUACCUGCAGAAAAGUACAGAGAGAGGGAGACAGAGAGGAGGAAACACAACUACAGGAGAGAGAAGACACAAAGUUAAUGACAUGAAAUGGUGGCAUUUGAAUGGAGAGAGGAGAGGAGCUCGGUUUAUCAACAGAGUUCCACCAGCAGACUAAAAUUUAGUAGCAUAACAAAAAGAUUGAUUCAGGUCUAAUUGUUAUUAUAUCAUCAAAUACACAAGAUCUGCUCACUCACAGUAACUAACUCAGUGGGAACUGACCCAUUUGAUCGAGCCUCCAGUCCACAGAUCACUGCAGGCGGCUGAGCGGUGGAGGUGGUGGGGUCACAUUUGUCAGCUGAUUCAAACUCUUGCCCUCAUUUCAAAAGUGUGUGUGUGUGUGUGUGUGUGUGUGUGUGUGUUUAAGAGGUGUCCAAUAGUCAGUGCCAGUAUUGGUCCUGAAGUGGAAUUCAAUGAAGGCGACAGGGAUUUGUGGGCGCCAGGCAGGAUGCAACACAUUUGAGUUAUUUAACAGAUUGUCCAUUGAGUCCAGGGUCAGAUUUUAUGUAUUGUUUCCAUUUUGUCAAAGCAUCUACCAUUAAAAGUUUGUUAAAUGAGUUAUUACCAGUUCAUGUUCUGUGCAGAGUAACCACAGAUCUACAUCAAGAAAAAAAGAUUUAACAGUUAAAUAUGGUUUCACUCUAUUUUACUUUACUGCAUUACCACAGGGUAGAAAUCAGAACAAACACAUCAUCAUAGUUUAUUAGUAAAUUAUAUAUUGUAUAUUAAUCUGCAUUGAAACUGUUAACUGAACCUCUAAAUUAUAUUUUAGUACAGUGCUUUAGUAAAUGUACUUCAUUUCCACCACUGACUGUGUUUAGACAGUCCGAUUGACCUCGUGCAGUGUCUUCACCUCAUGUUUUUCUCAUUUGAAUUUGUCCUGCUGACAGAUCAUGUCACGUCUGUUACUGAUCGUAUCCUGUAAUUGUCCUGUGCUGGUAAAAUACCAUCUGGGAUAGUGAGUGAAUAUCUGAAGUAGGACUUUUUUUGACUUUCUUUGAUUUGCAUCAUGAUAUGUUAGGAGGACGCUGUGACUCUCUGUUUAUCAGCUUGUUGUUGAGGAAACAGUUUGAUUAAUUACAGUGUUGUUUUAGCCUAAUUUACAUGACACUGAGUACUUAUAAAUAUCUUUUCUUUCUCUCUGUCUCUGUGACAUUUGGCCAGUAGGGUGGGAUUGUGUUGUUAUCACCUGCCGUUGUCUGUCAGAUGAGUGUAACUGCACAUCAGGCUCAGGCAAAGACUUGUAGAGGAUUAGCUGCUGACCCAAAAUGUGAGCCGACAGCUGGGAUGUUUAAACCAGCAAUGUCCCUGAAUGCAGUCUGAAACAUAGUUCAUGUACAGUAUCUUUAACUUGGCUCUUUUCUGUGAGACUGACUGUGUUUCUCUGUUUGGGAUCAGACAACGUACUGUUCUAUUCAAAACCAUCCAAAACCCUGGCUGUGCAGAGUGUGGUGGAGAAUAACAGACAGUGGAAGACUAUGGUGGAGCACAGUGAUUGAUUUCUAAGUUGAAAAUUGCAGCUUUAACAUUGCCUAUAAAUUAUGGACAUACAGGGAAAGGGCUGUAAGAACAUCAACAGAUGUUCUUAUUGAGAACCCUCGAAACAUCUGCAGGUACAGAUUCCUGGUGAUAGACCUUUAGAAUGGCUUAAACAUGAAAAUUUACUACCACAGAAUAUACAAGAUAUGUUUAAAGGUAGAGAGAGUAAUAUGUUUGAAGGAUGAUUUAUGUCACUUUUAAAUAAGACCCAGAACAAAUCUGUUUCAAACCUGAAGAUGAAUUAAAAAUAUAAAACAGUGUGUUGAAUCGUGUAAGUACAAGAAUUUGCUGUACUGUGUCUUUGAGUUUAGACACAUCAGAUAGUUCAGUACUUUCUUCCUCUUCAACAGAGCAGCUGUAACAAGACGGAAACAACUUUCCCUGUGGGAUUAAUGCAUCUAUUUUAAUCAGAAUAAAAGCACUGACUGUAAACUGUACUAACAUUAAAACAUGUUAAUGGUGAAUAUCUAUUGGACAAAGAUAACAUAAGUUGAACUUGGCAUAAGUAUAUUUAAAUAAACAAAAACUGCUGCAUCAUUAUCCACAGAUACAGAUUCAGAGGAUGAUCUCCAUCUUUAACGGUGGAUAUCUGAUGUGUCACGCUAGUAAACAUAGACACACGUCAUGUGACAGUGAGUCGGUAGUGAUGUUUGUUCCCAUAACAAACAGAAAGUGUCUUAAGAGUUGUGAAACCUGAGCACAGUGUGUGCAGGAUUACUGUGUGUGUGUGUGUGUGUGUGUGUGUGUGUGUGUGUGUGUGUGUGCUGCUUAUCCAAUGCUGGAACUGAUUCAGAGGUGUGGCAAGAAGCUGUGGAGCCAAUCAGAUCACUUCAAACAGAGGCGGUGUGCUUCAGAGCGACGCCUCUGAUUGGAUUUGAGCUCAACCUGAGGAAAACAACACAACAAAGCAGCCACGAGUGUUUCGUCACAUUUAAAUGAUGUGAUGAUGUGAUGAAGUCGCAUUUAAGCAAGAGUCACAAUGUCAACAUCUAAGUAUGUACGACUUUCCAUCGUGACAUCACACAUUGAUCUGGAACAACACAUCACAAGUGCUGUGUUAUAAACAUGGACAUAUUAUGAACAAACUGGCCCCUGAGCUCAGACAGGUAAAGGUCCCGUUUGUAGUUUUGUCGUCUCUUUUUGGUCAGUUUCUGUCCCUUAUGAGUCCAUUUUUUUGUUAUUUUCCAUUUGUUUUAGUUAUUUUAUUGAGUCUUCUUACUUGUAUUUCUCUUUUUGGUUAUUUUUUAAAUCUCUUGUCUGUGUUUAGCAUUUUCUAAAUGGUGCUAUAUGACUUUAAAGCAAGAAAUAUUAACACUAACUUCACACAAAGGUCCUGGUUUUCUCUGAUAUGAAUAUUUCAAUCACUGUUUACGCCUGAACUUUGAAUGAUUCAUGGAUGUACAGUAUAUAUGUAAAUAUGAAGCCACUGCUAUUGGUGUUGAACAGAAAAUAGUUGGAAACAUUAAAUCAUCUCCUUUAAAUAAAGGAACAAUGUUUAGGAAACACCAUCAUCAAUGGACAAACAAUAAUGUGUCAUUAAUACCUGACAAAUACCUGAUGGUGGUGGUGGGGGGUGUUACUGGGUCAAGCCCCCUUUACCCCAUCCCUCUGUCCUCCUGAUGGCCACUUGCAGGAAUGUAG
rnacentral:lncRNA from 1 species